ACAACAUUGGUGCUUUUUAAGCAGCCCUCCAGCCCUUACAAAGGUUCACCAUUUCAGAAGUUUGGACCUCAUGGUAGGAAACAUAUGGUGGACACUCAGAGGCAUGAUCUAAUGGUCUUCCAGGUUUGAGCAUGGACAUCCAUCACCAGUCUGGUUGGAAAGGCACUGCGGAGUGUGAAUGCUGGCUUGCCUGGCCCCACCAGGCCAGGGAAGAAGGCCAGGUAGCUGGGUGACUCCUCCAGAGCUGGCUAUUUGUAUCCCUGUAUGUCCACAAUGGCCCAUCCUCCAAGAUCAUAUACCAGAGUUUUCCAAACUUAAGAGAUUCCUUAGAUUAACAUUCCUCAAGUAAUCUUUCUGCAUUUUAAAUGUGAGUCUUCAUCAGCCAAACAUCUUGCAAUAUUUUCUCUUAGUGUGUAACUCACCUUUUCACUCCCUUGACAAGUCUAUCAUAGAUGAGAAAUCUUUAACAGUAAUGAAAUCUGAUUGGUAGUUUCGUAUUCUUUCUUUCUCUUUUACUUUUAGUAAAAAGUGUAUCUUAUAGAUUUAAAUUCCUUAAGAUUAAAAA
rnacentral:lncRNA from 1 species